rnacentral:lncRNA from 1 species
UUAUGAAAUAAACCAUGCAAACAUAACUUCUCAAACGUAUGCACAAUAAAUAUUCAGAUUUCUUUUCCUAUUCUCUCUCUUUUACUGCUAUUCACCAUUACUGAUGUUAGUAAAUUCUGAUAAGUUUUGAAAGGGGAAGGGGGUGGCAGCGGUGUGAGGGAUGGCGACAGAAAAGGGAAGGAAGGAAGACGGCGUCGGCGAACAGAUCUGGAGUAGAUCUUGCCGGGUUUAACGCCGGAAAAAGGGAGCGGGGUGUGACAGCGGCAGCGGCAGUGGCAGCGUUAGGCUUCACUAACCAGGGUUGAUUCACCAGCGGCAACCAAAUCUGAUGAAAAGACUGGUUCCAUCGAAAACAUCAUUGUAAAAAUACUAAAUAUUCUUAUUCUAUUCAUUUCUUCCAUUUUUAUUUCUUGACCUCUACAUUUUAUUUUUAAACAUAAUUUUUAAUUCUGAUUCUGUUUAUUCAUUUUUUACUUUAUUUUUUAAUUUUUACACUAUGCAAAAAUAUGCACUAUGCAAAUGGAAUAAAAUAUCUACAAAAUUAUGAAUGCACGAGAAAUUAUGUAUAUGAAAAGUAGCUGUGUAUGAAGGUGUACUUCAUGGUAAGUAUAUGCUUAUAUUUAUGAUGUGUAUGUAUCAGUACAAACAUGUCUAAGUAUGUCAUAUAUCGUUUUAAAUAUUUUGAUAAUUAGAUUUACAGUAUAAUUUAUAAUCACAUUAAUACCGAUAAUCAAACUCUUGCAUGUUGGAUGAUACAUGAAGCCAUUGAACGGUAAUUUAUAAAAUAACAGUAUAAGAAUGGACAAGAACCUGUAUGGAUGAAUUGAACGAAAAUUGCAGCAGACACAUUUUAACCAAAAACUUGAACACAAACUUGACUUCAACUUCACACUUUUCUCUCUUUUCUUUUUGAUUUUUUCUCCUUUCUGAUGUUCUGCUAUUGUUUUUCUGGUUUCUGAUAGUGUAAAUACGUCGAGAGAGAAUUGACUAGGUGAAAAAAAAUCCUUAAAUAAAGGAUUUUUUUGGGGGGAAGCAGAUAGGGUGAAUAAAUGAACAAAUAUAAUAAAAUAAUAUUAAAACAAUUAAUUUAUUUAUUAAAAUUUAUAAAAGAAAACAUAUAUUUAAUUUUUAUAUUAUUUUUAAAAUUAGAAUAAAAUAAAAAUAAAGAUCAAAUAUUUGAUUAAAUACAAAUACAAAUAUUUAAUAUCAAUAGACAAAUUAAAAUUUAGGAAGGAUAAAAAAUCAGGUGUCUACAUUUUUGCCCCUCUUUGUGUGAAAUCUUGAAGAGUUUUCAUACAAAGAAGUAGACAUGAUAUGAUUUUUGACCCUCCAAUUAUUUGAAAGGUAAAAAUAAAACUAAAAUAAAAAGAAAAAUAUGACCGAGUCCUGUUUUUGGACAUCCUACCUAUCCCGGGUUAUAAGGGAAUCAGGUUACGAGUAGUUCAAAGGUAGUAUGGAGAGAGAAAGAGUAAAAGUUGAGUGAGAUUCUGUCGAGUUUUCGGUUGACGACUUCUGUUUUUUACAUUCAGAUGACUAACAAAAUAAUAAAAAUAAAAUAAAAUAAUAAUAAUAAUAAUAAUAAUAAUUAAAAAAAAAAAGAAAAAUACAUGUAAAAAUUGCAAUCUCUAGAAUCUUGAUUCAAGCCUUCGUGACUUGAAUUUGAAAAUUCACCCUAUUCUUCAGGCGAGUUUCUAGAUUUUCUUUUUUUUACCCUGUUCUUCAGGUGGGCUCCUGGACUUGCAAUUUCUUCACUCCGUUCUACUUCUAAUUUCUUCACCCUGUUCUUCAGGCGGGCUCCUGAACUUGCAAUUUCUUCACCUUGUUCUUUAGGCGGGCUCCUGAACUUUCUUUUUCUGAUUUUCAAAUAUGUUCCUGAACUCAAAAUAAAAGGUGAAACAGAAAAAUAACAUCCCAUUCUUCAGGAGGGUCCUGAGAAAAAAUAAAUUCCCAUUCUGCAGGAGGGUCCUGAGCAAAAAUAAAUUCCAUACAACACACAUAAAAUUUUUGCCCCAGUUUGUACUGGAAAAAUUAUGUGUCACUGGAUCUUAAUAUACCUCGUAAAGAAUAAAGUUUACCAUGACCGAGAUCCAGUAUCGGAUGUUGAAACCAUGCUUCUUGCAUUGAGAAAAGUGUGAAAUCACAUCCUUUAUCUGAAAACAAUUAUUUCAUCUCUGUUUCAAACAAAGAAAAAUAAUGAGUUUUAAAACAUGUGGUGGUUGGUUUGUGGUUUUCGGCUCUUGAACUGACUGUUCUUGCACUUUCCAUGUUUAACUCCUUUUCAUUCCUUGAUAAUAUUCAUUGAAUUGUCAUACUUCUAACUCAGAAUUUUGACUACUGAGAUCCUCAACUCAAAUCAUAUUUCUGUUGUAUGAUGCUUCUGAGUUUAGCUUCCAAUGCAUCCCUUAGAUUUUCAUGAGUUUAAAAUGGUCAAAUCACAAUCAUCUUGAGUACCUUACUUUUACUUUGAAACAUUAUCUCUGUGCAUCGACCAUUUGUCUUGCUUUGUACCCUUAAAGGAGUUGGUAGCGAGUUUGGAAUCCUUUCUUACUCGACCUGACGUGAAUUUAACUCAAAAGACAACAAAAAAUUUUUGUUUGAUGACAACGACACAAAAAAUAAAAAAAUUAAAAUAAAACAAAAAGAAAAAGACAAUAGACAUCUCUUUUUCAAAAUAAAGAGAAAACUUAUCUGAAUGUGUAAAUUGAUUCUGGUGAUUAUGACAUGCAUUUUGAAUCAAACAACCAGAUCUAUCCACACCAAUCAUUACAACUUUUGUCCACUUAUUGAGCUUGAAAUUAAGUCAAUCUUGAACUUGUUCCUUCUUGAUAACAACCUUUCUUCGGCUAGUGGCACCUUAAUGGGUUUUUGCCAACGAGCCUAUAUCCUUUUCAUUUCUAUCUUAACUUACAGUUGUCUUAUGGUGCCCGAAAGGGUUUUCACCAAUAAGACUCUCUCAUUUUCAUUUUUUAUUUUUUUUUAUUUAUGAAAAUCCAAAAUAUGAAAUAUCAUGCACUCAUAACAUGUUUAGCCUUGAUAUUCUCAAAGAUUGAUCCGAAGGUCUUUCUUUGGUUGUAACUUGGCUUUUGGAUAGGGUUAGAAAGAAAGGUCGGCAUGAGGCUCAAAAAUUUAUAUAACAUUGGGUGAAACAUACAACUUUUGAAAUCGAUUCUUUAAGAAAUUUUUUUUUUCCCAGUUUCAUUUCAUUCUGGGUAAUUUGAACUUUCUUUUGGUUGGAUCGAACUCCGGAGUCGAGCUGCCUACGUAUCUUGUUAUAGUGAGAAUAAGGUCAAACGUAGUUCAGGAAACAUCAUUCUUUUGUUUGAUUUUGAAUUUUUUUAUUGAUUUCUUAUUUCUUUAAAUAUAUAUAUAUAUAUAUAUAUUNNNNNNNNNNNNNNNNNNNNNNNNNNNNNNNNNNNNNNNNNUUUUCUGACUUUAAUUUGAUUCCAAAAGAAGGGUACGAAGAAAAAUAAAAGCUCAAAGGGGUAAGCAAAGGUUGAUAUAUUAUUCGGAUAGCAGAACAAAAUGCCUUCAUCAUUUCAAUCUUUUAGAAUGUAAGUACAAAACAUACAUAAUAUAAUUGUACAUGAAUAUCAUACAUAAUAUCUUUUAAAUGCAUCAGCAUUGACUGGUAUUCCUUUCAUUUUGCCUUCUACAUUAGUUAAAUAUAACGCGCCAUUAGGUAACUCUUUCUUCACCAUGAAUGGUCCAUGCCAAUUAGGAGAAAAUUUGCCUUUGGCUUCAAUCUGAUGGGGUAGGAUGCAUCUUAGUACUAACUGACCAACUUCAAAAUAUCUGUGAAGCACCUUUUUAUUAUAUGCUCGUGCCAUUCUCUUCUGAUAUAGUUUUCCAUGACAUACUGAUGUUAAUUUGUAUCACCAAUCAAGCUUAAUUGCUCCAAACGAGUCUUGACCCAUUGGUCCUCAUUAAUUUCAGCUUCUACAACUACUCGAAGAGAUGGAAUUUCAAUCUCUGCAGGUAUAACUGCUUCAGUUCCAUACACUAACAAGUAAGGAGUUGCACCAAUUGAAGUCCAAACUGUAGUACGAUAAUCCAACAAAGCAAAAGGUAACUUUUCAUGCCAUUGUCGGGAACCCUGCACCAUCUUACGGAGUAUUUUCUUUAAGUUCUUAUUGGCAGCUUCUACAGCUUCAUUCGCUUUUGGUCGUUAAGGAGUUAAAUUUCGAUGCAUAAUCUUAAAUUGCUGGCACACUUCUUGCAUCAGAUCACUAUUGAGAUUCGCAGCAUUAUCCGUAACAAUUAUCUUUGGAAUGUCGAAUCGACAAAUGAUAUUGGAGUGAAUAAAAUCAACCACCACUUUCUUGGUCACUGACUUGAAAUUCGCUGCUUCCACCCACUUCGUGAAAUAAUCAAUAGCUACUAAGAUGAACCUAUGUCCAUUCGAAGCUUUUAGUUCAAUUGGUCCAAUUACGUCCAUUCCCCAAGCCACAAAAGGCUAUGGAGCAGUCAUUGUAUGCAACUUAGAUAGAGGGGAAUGUAUCAAGUCUCCAUGUACCUGACAUUCAUGACAUUUACGAAUGAAAUUGAUAGAAUGUCUCUCCAUGGUGAGCCAAUAAUAACCUGCUCGGAGUAUUUUCUUUGCCAAAACAUACCCACUCAUGUGUGGUCCACAAAUCCUAGAAUGUACUUCAGUCAUGAUUUUUGAAGCUUCUUUAGCAUCUACACACCUCAGAAGUCCCAAAUCAGGAGUCCUUUUAUACAAAAUUCCUCCACUUAAGAAAAAUCCACUAGACGAACGUCGAAUGGUUCUCUUUUUAUUACCAUCGAUAUAUAUAGGAUAUUUUCUAGUCUGAAUAUAUUCUUUGAUAUCAUGGAACCACGGAUCCCCAUCAAGUUCUUCCUCAACCACAUUGCAAUAUCCAUGUUGAUCAUGAAUCUGUAUAUGCAAAGGGUCAAUAUAAGUUUUAUCGGGAUGUUGAAGCAUCGAAGAUAAGGUUGCCAAAGCAUCAGCAAUCUCAUUAUGAGCUCUAGGAAUGUGUUUGAGCUUUAUUGAUACAAAUUGUUGACAAAGAUCUUGCAAACAACCUCUAUAUGAUAAGAUUUUUGAAUCACAAGUCUCCCAAUCUCCUUGGAUUUGAUGGACUAAUAAAUCUGAAUCUCUCAAUACCAACAGAUCUUGAAUCCCCAUGUCAAUGGCUAAUCUCAAUCACAGAAUGCAAGCUUCGUAUUCUACCAUAUUAUUGGUACAGUAGAAUCAAAAUUAGGCUGUUAUAGGAUAAUAUUGUCCUAAUUCAGAAAUAAGAACCGCUCCUAUCCCCACUCCUUUUAUAUUAGUAGCUCCAUAAAAAAACAACAACUUCCAGCCUGAAUGACAAUCUUCUGAAACAUACUCAUCAACAUACAAUACCUCUUCAUCUGGAAAAUAAGUCUUCAAUGGCUCAUACUCCUCAUCAAUAGGAUUUUCAGCCAAAUAAUCCGCCAAGGCUUGAGCUUUCAUUGCAGUUCAUGUCACAUAAACAAUAUCAAACUCUGUGAGCAACAUCUGCCAUUUUGCGAGUUUGCCUGUGGGCAUAGGCUUCUGAAAAAUAUACUUUAAAGAUCCAUACGAAAGAUAAGGUAAGUAGUAUAAGAUGACAAGUAAUGUUUCAGCUUUUGGGCUACCCAAGUUAAGGCGCAACACGUCUUCUCAAGAAAAGUGUACUUAGCCUCAUAAGUGGUAAAAUUUUUGCUGAGGUAGUAGAUGGCUUGUUCUUUUCUGCCCAUAACAUCAUGUUGUCCCAAUACACAGCCAAAAGAAUUGUGUAACACAGACAUGUACAAUAUCAAGGGUCUGCCUAGCUUUGGAGGAACCAAAAUAGACGGAUUCGACAAGUAUCUCUUAAUUCUAUCAAAUGCCACUUAACAUUCUUCAGUCCAUUCAACUUUAGCAUUCUUCUUCAAUAACUUGAAUAUUGGUUCAUAGGUUGUUGUAAGCUGAACAAUGAAUCUACUGAUAGAAUUCAACCUUCCAAGUAAGCUCAUCACCUCUGUUUUAUUUUUUGGUAGAGGCAGAUCUUGAAUAACUUUUAUUUUUGAAGGAUCUAACUCAAUGCCACGUNNNNNNNNNNNNNNNNNNNNNNNNNNNNNNNNNNNNNNNNNNNNNNNNNNNNNNNNNNNNNNNNNNNNNNNNNNNNNNNNNNNNNNNNNNNNNNNNNNNNNNNNNNNNNNNNNNNNNNNNNNNNNNNNNNNNNNNNNNNNNNNNNNNNNNNNNNNNNNNNNNNNNNNNNNNNNNNNNNNNNNNNNNNCAACAAGUACCUCUUAAUUCUAUCAAAUGCCUCUUGACAUUCUUUAGUCCAUUCAACUUUAGCAUUCUUCUUCAAUAACCUGAAUAUUGGCUCACAGGUUGUUGUAAGCUGAUCAAUGAAUCUACUGAUAUAAUUCAACCUUCCAAGUAAGCUCAUCACCUCUUUUUUAUUUUUUCGUGGAGGCAGAUCUUGAAUAGCUUUUAUUUUUUAAGGAUCUAACUUAAUGCCACGUCGACUGACUAUAAAACUAAGAUUUUUCCUGAUGGAACUCCAAAUACAUAUUUUGCUGGGUUAAGUUUGAGAUCAUACCUCCAAAGCCUUUCAAAGAAUUUUCUCAAAUCUUUGACAUAAUCAGAUUACUCUCUCGACUUAAUGAUCACGUCGUCUACAUAAACUUCAAUCUCUUUGUACAUCAUGUCAUGAAACAUUGUGGUCAUUGCCCUCAUGUAAGUUGCCCCAGCAUUCUUUAGUCCAAAAGGCAUGACUCGAUAACAAUAUGUCCCCCAUAGCAUAAUAAAUGAUGUCUUUUCCGCAUCUUCUGGAUCCAUAAUGAUCUGGUGAUAUCCCAUAUAACAAUCCACAAAAGACGCAAGAUCAUGUUUGGCACAAUUGCCCAACAAAAUAUGAAUAUUGGGAAGUGAAAAAUUAUCUUUCGGACUCGCCUUAUUUAGAUCACGAUAAUUAACACACAUCCAAACUUUGUCGUCCUUCUUUGGAACAGGGACAAUAUUCGCCAACCAAGCAGGACACUGGGCCACUCGAAUGACUUUAGCCUCAAGUUGCUUCAUGAUUUCCUCUUUAAUUUUUACACUCAUGUCAGUUUUGAGUUUUCUUAGCUUCUGCUUGAUAGGAUGAAAAGCAGGAUCAAUUGGCUACUUGUGAACUACCAAAUCAGUGCUCAAAACGGGCAUAUCAUCAUAAGACCACGCAAAGAUGUCUUUAUACUCAUGCAAAGCUUCAAUUAUAGCUUUCUUUUGUUGUGGUUGAACAUGUACACUUAUCUUAAUCUCCCUAAUAUUUUCAUGACCUCCUAAAUUGAUCGCCUCAGUUUCUUCCAAAUUGGGAUUUGUCUUAUUCUCAAACUGUUUGAAAUCUUUGCUUAUAUCCUCAAAUGUUUCCUCUUUAUCGUUUUCAACCUCCUUAUUCGUUAUUUCAAAAUUAGAUUGGGUUAUUAAAUUUGGUUGACAAUUCUUCAUGCAUGUCAUUUCAUUAGAAUCGGCAUAGAAAGAACUGUAUGAUAGAAAAUAAAUAAAUAAAAAUUAGACUCAAAAUAAAAAUGAAAGGAAACUACGCUUUAUUAGAAACAUAGAUAGAAAGAGUUUUAACCUAAAAUACCAAGGUAAAGGUCUGAAUUACAAUCCUAAAAUUAUCCAAAUUACAGAAAGAAAAACAAGCUAUUAAGAUUGUAAGAAAAACAAACAAACUACCAAGACUCCUUCAUAAUAGGGAGAGGAGUGGCUUCCUAAUUGUUAAGUUGGACAUCAGGGCCGACAAACUGUAUAUCUGCAUUGCUGGUACCUUCCUCGAUUUCAACCAUAUCAGCUUCAAUGAACAUAUUCUAAAAAUGGUCAAUCAACUCUGUACCAUCAUCAUUCAUUGAUUCUGCAACAGGUAACUUGGAGGAUCCAACAACACUGAAUUUGAUGAAAGACUCGCGAAGUGGCGGUAUCGGCUUGGUAAGUGACC